AACCGACUCGCCAGUGUUUGGUGAUGUGUUCCAUAAGCCCGUGUUUUGUAUUUUUGUAGUAUUAAAACACCAUAAAAUACUUUGUAAGAAGUUCUACAUGAUGACAUCAUAAAAAUGCAGACUCUGGUUGGUUCCUACUCAGUAUUUUGCUCAGACUUGUUGAGAUCAGAACAAUAAAUUGAUCCAUAUGGAAGAAGGUGGUGAAGAUGAUCACAUGUUCUCCAAACACCAGGUCAGAAGCAGUGCUGUCUCCCGUUGUCGAGACAAUCCUGGCCGCUAGGGGGCGCUGAUGUUCAGGAGAAAUGUACGGGAGUUGAAGAGGGCGCCCCACACUGAGCACCAUCGCUUUGAGUGUCACUCCAAGAAUGAGUGUGGAAUCGUUUGUUCAAGUGAACCAAGAAAUUAUUUGUCAUAUGAAUUUACUGCAAUACAUUAAUAAACAUUUCUAAAAAACUUGUUAAA